rnacentral:lncRNA from 1 species
GCACCUCAGGCACUUUGGGCAACUCAGGCUUUGGAAGUUCAGGUACUUCGGGCUCCUUUGGCACCUCAGGCACUUUGGGCAACUCAGGCUUCGGAUGUUCAGGUACUUCGGGCUCUUUUGGCACCUCAGGCACUUUGGGCAACUCAGGCUUUGGAAGUUCAGGUACUUCAGGCUCUUUUGGCACCUCAGGUUUCGGAAUCUCUGGCAAUUCAGGUUCUUUUGGCAAUUCAGGCUUUGGAAUCUCAGGUAAUUCAGGUUUCUUCGGUAGUUCUGGCUUUGGAAUUUGUGGUAGUUCAGGUUUUGGUAACGGUGGCAAUUCAACCUCAGGCAAUUCAGGCUUGGGUAUUUCUGGAACUGUUGCCUCUAGAAGAUGGCGAGCAGCGAUCAAAUCAAUGUUAAAGCUCAUUGACGAUAAAGCGGUUAGCAAAAGUGGUAGCAUAACGGAUGAGAAAGAGAAGGACGCCAUGGUUGAACUAUUGCCGAAUAAGACUAUAAGAGAUGAAACAUAUAUUGUGUUGCGGUAAUAACAAUCAAAAGAGAAGGGAUCAAAUGUGUUUAUGCAUUGAUUUCAUGUGUUAUGAGGCUUUUAUAGGUGUGGCGAAGCGUAGAAUAGAGGGUUUCAAGAUUGGGUAGGUAUGACUAAAAUAGUAAAAUAUACAUAAAUUAAGCUUGGGUUGGUACUUGGUAAGAAAUUUAUGUCUUGUUAGUUCAUCAACCUCUCACUUCUGCUAAUUCCACGUACGUCAUAACGAUUAUAUAUCAUUGUAUAAUAUGUUAUAUAAGCAAUUAUAUUGCAAUUAAUUGUUAUAUUAAGGGAUUAUUCAUUAUCUUUUCAUAUAUCCCCUGUGAAAAAAAAAAGGUAAAUGGUUAAAAUAACAACCUCUGAAUGAUUAUUUUAUUCAAUACUUUUCUGUAAAUUAUUUAAGAUUAUUGAAGCCAGUUCCUAUGGGAAGGAACGGCCUUUCUAAGGCUCAAACCUUGAGUUCGAAUUUUAAUGUAUGCCUGAGUUAAUAAUAAUAAUAAAAUUAACAUUAUUUUAUAACUUUCUGGUCAUAUAUAUGUCAUAAAACACCAAAUGACAUAAGCUUCGCUAAAUUAAAUCUUAUUAAUUAAUUUAUUUUUAUUUUUAUUUAAGAGUCAACCUUUUAGCAUUUGUAGCUUUCCUUCUCGAAAACAAACUAAUACGUAAUUGAAUUCAUUUCCUAAUGGAUGUUAACAGCCACAUGUCGUUUCUCUUAUUCCCAUCUUUUCCUCUUCAAUUAAUUUAUCAGAUUGUCUUCUCCUUGUAUUUGAAUGCUACAAGAAAGAAGAUUGAACGCUCUAUGAUUGAGAUUUUAAGCCAGAUUAACUAUUUGUUGUGGUUGGAAGCACAUGUUAUCCAUUAUGCAUUGGUUAUUUUCAAACAUUGUCGUGGUUGGUCAAAUGUGUCUCAUCAAUAUUAAUCAUGAACAAAUCAAAAGCAUAUUUACGUACGAAUCAACGUCGUGUCAUUUGAUCAUAUUUUAUGUAAGAUCUCCUGUUUGUUGGCCACAAUUUUGAUAUGUAGUACUUGGGGCACCGUUUUUUCGCCAAGAAUCUUAACGAAUUAUGUAAAAGUCAAUUACCAAUUUAUAUUUACUCAGGUAAAAGUGUUGAACAUAUGUAUGCAUGUGGCAAAAAUUGCAUGUGGUUAGCAUGCAACUUUUGACUCUCGUCAUAAAAUUAUUGAGUAAGUGGGAGACAUGAGUAAGUGAGAGGAAUAUAGCUUUUGACUCUAGCACCAAAGUAGAAGGUUCAGAGAAAAUUUACAUUAUUUUAAUGCCCACCAUCCUUGAUUUUUAGACAUUACCUGGCCUAUAAAUAAAGGCUUCAUUUGCCCUCUUAAAUCAUCUCAUUUUCUUUGGUGAGAGUGAGAGUGCCAAGAGGUGUAAGUUGAGAGUGUUGAAAGCUUUGUGCUCUAGUUCUAGUGUUUUUCAGAGUUUCGGUGUACUGGAGUUUUGGGCUGUGAGACAAAAAUACUAUAAUACUUAUAACUCAUUUUUACUAGUAAAAUAUUUUCUUCUGUCUUCGCAUGUGGACGUAGGCUAAAAACUGAACUACGUAAAUUCUGGUGUUGUUGUAUGAUAAUUAUUUUUCAAUUUCACUUUAGUUGUGUGUCUACUUCACCCGCUGAAUUUUCCUAACAAGUGGUAUCAGAGCCAUUGGUUGCAAAUCUUUGGAGUUAGGUAUUGUUCACAUAUAUGAUACUAUUCACAUAUACAAUACUAUUCACGUAUACGGCAUUAUUCACAUGAAACGAUGGGAGCGAUCCAAGAAUUCUGCAGUACAAAGUAGGGAAUAGUGAUGUGAGUGAAAGUAAUUGUGUGGUCUUGUACAUAUCUAGGAAAAUUUUGUCAUAAAGGCAAUAAGAGUUUAAGAAGUUUGGAUUUUAAGUGGGAUCGUUGUGACCCCUCCAGUCUUUCUUGGGAACUUUUGUAGUGUGCAUAUUCACACGUGUGAUCACUCAUAACUAUUCAAGGAGGUACACUAACUUGUGUGCGGUAUUAACAAAAUGACAGCAACGUUUGAAAUUAAGAAGUUCAAUGGGAACAAUUUCUCAUUAUGGAAAAUAAAGAUGCGGGCAAUUUUGAGGAAAAAUAAUUGCUUAAAAGUGAUUGGGGAAAGACCUGCAAAAAUCAGUGGUAACAAGUGGAAUGAAUGGACAACAAUGUAAUUGUUGAUCUACACCUGACACUCAGAUGGGGUGUUAUCUAGUGUGGCAGAGGAAAAGAUAAUGAAAGGUAUUUGGAAUACUCUCACAAAACUAUACGAGAUCAAGUCACUACACAACAAAAUCUUCUUAAAGAGGAGAGUCUAUACUCUUCGAAUGGGGGAAACCAAAACGGUGACCGACCAUACCAACACUCUUAAAACUUUAUUUUCACAACUUACGAUGUUUGGCAUAAAGUAGAGGAAAUUAAAUGUGCAGAGCUUCUACUUCAAAGUUUACCUGACUCGUAUAAUCAACUUGAUGAACAGUAUCCUUACGGAGUACCUAGUCUUGAGGAAAAAUAAUUGCUCAAAAAUAAUUGGGGAAAUGCCUGCAAAAAUCACUGGUGACAAGUGGAAUGAAUUGACAGCAAUGCAAUUGUUGAUCUACACCUGGCACUCAGAUGGGGUGUUAUCUAGUGUGGCGGAGGAAAAGACAAUGAAAUGUAUUUGGGAUACUCUCACAAAAUUGUAUGAGGCCAAGUCACUACACAACAAUAUCUUUUUGAAGAGGAGACUCUAUACUUUUCGAAUUGCGGAAACCAUAACGAUGACCGACCAUAUCAACACUCUUAAAACUCUAUUUUCACAACUUACGACGUUGGGUAUAAAAUAAAGGAAAUUGAACGUGCAGACCUUCUACUUUAAAGUUUACCUGACUCAUAUGAUCAACUCAUCAUCAACUUGAUGAACAAUAUCCUUAUGGAGUACUUAGUCUUCGAUGAUGUUACAGCCUCUGUAUUAGAAUAAGAGAGUAGGCGCAAAAACUAGGAAGACAGUUAAGCAAGUUUGCUGCAAGUGGAAGCGCAUGAUGAUGAGAGGGAGGUCAGUGAAACGUAGUCCUAGUAGGAGUCACAAUCAUGGUAGAUCAAAUUUAAGAAGUAAGAAGAAAAUCAGAUGCUACAAAUGUGGAAAAAUAUGGCAUGUCAAGAAAGAGUGUUGGAGUUACCAGUAGAAAGGAGAGGGUAAAGAUCCUAAGUCAUCAAAUGCUUAGGGGUGUGUAGUAAGUACCUCAUAUGAUGAUGACGUUUUAUACAACGAGGCAGUUAUGGUUGCAGAAGGCAAAAAAAAAACUAUCUGACGUCUGGUUUAUAGACUCAAUAGCUACUGGCACAGGACCUCUCGGAGAGAAUAGUCCCACAAAUAUGAACCUAGCUUAGGAGAAUCGGUAUAUAUGGGUGAUAAUCAUACCUUGGAGACUGCUAGUGUUGGUUCUAUCAAAAUAAAAAUAUUUGAUGGUAUAUUUGCACUAUUUAGGAGGUACUGCAUGUCAAAGGUAUGAAAAAAAAUCUAUUGUCUUUAGGACAAAUAGAUAGUCUUGGCUGUAAAACACAGGUGGAAAAUGGGAUCAUGAAUAUUGUCAGAAGUGCGCUUGUAUUGAUGGAGGCGGAAAAUAUAUGUGCCAAUUUAUUCAUGCUUAAAGGGGAAACAUUGCAAGAAGCUACUACUUGUUUUGCGUCAAAUGGAGAAGAAUCGACAAUGAUGUGCAUCUCAAACUUGGCCACAUGUGGAAACAAGGUUUGGAGAUUCUCUCUGGGCAAAAGUUGCUUCCAGGGCUCAAAUAGGUGAACUUAUCAUUUUGCGAGCACUGUGCUACAAGUAAACAGCAUAGAUUAAAGUUUAGCAUAUUUGACAGCAUAAGUAAAUGCAUUCUAGCAUAUCUGACAAUAUAUGGACGUAGGCUAAAAGUCAAACCACAUAAAUUCUGGUGUCCCUGUAUGAUCAUUAUUUUUUUAUUUCAUUUAAAUUGCGUGUCUACUUCACCCACCCGAUUUUUCCCAACAAAAAGCUCAAAUUAGGAUAAUCAAAUGCACACGUGUGUACUUCAAAAAAAUCAGACCAAAAAAUAUCACGUGUCAAGUGCUAGAACUUGAGCCUAAAAUAAUUAAUUUCAUUUUAUUACUUUGUUUUUGAAUAUUAAUACUAGCUAGUUUUAUAUAAUUCACUUUUGCUCCUUGUUUCUUGUUCCUUGUUAGAAUUGAUCAAUUGAGUUACUAACUUCUGUCCUUAUCUGGUAUUAAUGUAAGCUCUCUCUAUAAUUUAAUAAUUUGUUUUUGUAACUCUCUCUGCAAAUUAAUCAUUUUUUUUAUGGACCUUGUGUAAUGGGGAUAUUUCGUCUCAAGUGAGAAUAUUUAUUCUGCAAAAAAACAUUUACAAAAGUUGUAAAUCUAGUUCAGGAUGGAUUAGUUUCAUAUUAAACAUUAGUGACAGCUCUAGUCUAAAAGUCACGUAAACAUUCCUAUUUUGGGCGCGUAGCUCAUCACGGUUUGCUGUUCGACAAAAUCAUAACCGACUGUGUGGUCAAAGGGAGCAAAUAAAUCUGAUUUUUCUCCCCUUGAUGAUCAGAUAAAGGGUCGUCCUAGUUUAUUUUUCUAAAAUAUCACUAUCGCUGCGGUGCUGAAGUUUGUUUAGGUCUUUCUAGCUUCGAAUGCUGAAACGUUCGGCAAUACACAAAACAAAAAGUUGUCUCUUUAAUUUAUUUUUCUGUAUAUUUUAAAAUCACAAAAAAUUAAAUACCAAUUUAAUCGAUGUGACACAGCAAUCAUCAUUAUUUUAAAUUUCCUAUACAUUUUCGACUGACGUCAAAAUGAAGAUAAAAUGCAAUUACGUGAUAGAGCACAUAUAAAAUCAGAAACCUCAAAUCAGACUGCUAAACAUAAAAAUACAAUAUAUAUCACUCAAUUUAUUAUGUAAAAAUGAAUACAACAGUAGUCCUGCGUAGCCGAACUCAUCACGAGUCGUAUCCCAGACUUAAAAACAAUAACAAAAAGAAUCCUCAAAAGGGAAAACACACAAAUUUGGAAAGUCUCAAAACAAGAAACAACAAAUAUAAUUUAUUGAUAUACAUCUGCAGAGAACCAGAUGAAGCUCGGGAAAGCAUUUGAAGAAAAUGGAAUUUAAGGAUUGGUGGUUGAGUGAGUUGGCAUCUCCUUGGGAAGACUCGGGAUGGGGGGAAAUGUCGGCUUAGGAAGCUCAGGUAGAUGGGGGAAAGAAGGCAAUUCAGGCACCUUGGGCAACUCAGGCUUUGGAAGUUCAGGUACUUCGGGCUCUUUUGGCACCUCAGGCACUUUGGGCAACUCAGGCUUUGGAAGUUCAGGUACUUCGGGCUCCUUUGGCACCUCAGGCACUUUGGGCAACUCAGGCUUGGGAUGUUCAGGUACUUCGGGCUCUUUUGGCACCUUAGGCACUUUGGGCAACUCAGGCUUUGGAAGUUCAGGUACUUCGGGCUCCUUUGGCACCUCAGGCACUUUGGGCAACUCAGGCUUCGGAUGUUCAGGUACUUCGGGCUCUUUUGGCACCUCAGGCACUUUGGGCAACUCAGGCUUUGGAAUUUCAGGUACUUCGAGCUCUUUUGACACCUCAGGCACUUUGGGCAACUCAGGCUUCGGAUGUUCAGGUACUUCAGGCUCUUUUGGCACCUCAGCUUUCGAAAUCUCUGGCAAUUCUGGUUCUUUUGGCAACUCAGGCUUUGGAAUCUCAGGUAAUUCAGGUUUCUUCGGUAGUUCUGGCUUUGGAAUCUCUGGUAAUUGAGGUUUUUUAGGAAGCUCAGGCUUUGGAAUCUCAGGUAAUUCAGGCUUUGGAAUUUGUGGUAUUUCAGGUUUUGGUAACGGUGGCAAUUCAACCUUAGGCAAUUUAGGCUUGGGGAUUUCUGGAACCGUUGCCUCUAGAAGAUGGCGAGCAGCGAUCAAAUCAAUGUUAAAGCUCAUUGACGA